rnacentral:rRNA from 1 species
AUUGAACGCUGGCGGCAGGCUUAACACAUGCAAGUCGAGCGGAGAGAGGUAGCUUGCUACUGAUCUUAGCGGCGGACGGGUGAGUAAUGCUUAGGAAUCUGCCUAUUAGUGGGGGACAACAUUUCGAAAGGAAUGCUAAUACCGCAUACGUCCUACGGGAGAAAGCAGGGGAUCUUCGGACCUUGCGCUAAUAGAUGAGCCUAAGUCGGAUUAGCUAGUUGGUGGGGUAAAGGCCUACCAAGGCGACGAUCUGUAGCGGGUCUGAGAGGAUGAUCCGCCACACUGGGACUGGGACACGGCCCAGACUCCUACGGAAGGCAGCAGUGGGGAAUAUUGGACAAUGGGCGGAAGCCUGAUCCAGCCAUGCCGCGUGUGUGAAGAAGGCCUUAUGGUUGUAAAGCACUUUAAGCGAGGAGGAGGCUACUUUAGUUAAUACCUAGAGAUAGUGGACGUUACUCGCAGAAUAAGCACCGGCUAACUCUGUGCCAGCAGCCGCGGUAA